AUCUAGCUGACGAGUCCCAAAUAGGACGAAACGCGCGUCAAGCUGGAU
rnacentral:hammerhead_ribozyme from 1 species